rnacentral:rRNA from 1 species
UACGAGGGGGGCUAGUGUUGUUCGGAAUCACUGGGCGUAAAGGGAGCGUAGGCGGGCGUUUAAGUUAGGUGUUUAAUCCCGGGGCCCAACCCCGGACCGGCACCUAAAACUGGACGUCUUGAAUAGUGGAGAGGUCAGUGGAAUUGGAGGUGUAGCGGUGGAAUGCGUAGAGAUCUCCAAGAACACCCGUUGCGAAGGCGGCCGACUGGACACAUAUUGACGCUGAGGCUCGAAAGCAUGGGGAGCAAACAGG